rnacentral:rRNA from 1 species
AUUGAACGCUGGCGGCAGGCUUAACACAUGCGAGUCGAGCGGGGUGAUGGUGCUUGCACUAUCACUUAGCGGCGGACGGGUGAGUAAUGCUUAGGAAUCUGCCUAUUAGUGGGGGACAACAUCUCGAAAGGGAUGCUAAUACCGCAUACGUCCUACGAGAGAAAGCAGGGGAUCACUUGUGACCUUGCGCUAAUAGAUGAGCCUAAGUCGGAUUAGCUAGUUGGUGGGGUAAAGGCCUACCAAGGCGACGAUCUGUAGCGGGUCUGAGAGGAUGAUCCGCCACACUGGGACUGAGACACGGCCCAGACUCCUACGGGAGGCAGCAGUGGGGAAUAUUGGACAAUGGGGGGAACCCUGAUCCAGUCAUGCCGCGUGUGUGAAGAAGGCCUUAUGGUUGUAAAGCACUUUAAGCGAGGAGGAGGCUCUUUUGGUUAAUACCCAAGAUGAGUGGACGUUACUCGCAGAAUAAGCACCGGCUAACUCUGUGCCAGCCGCCGCCGUAA